rnacentral:lncRNA from 10 species
GUGAGUGCUGUUAGAAGGUGGGGGUGGGAAAGAGGAGGAAGGCACAGGAGGAGUCAAUAAGAGGUUAAAUAGAAAGACCAGAGCAACCCGAGAGAGCCUGAGAGCACUGGGUGAUGAGAAGACCUGCAGGAAGGGAAUGGACACAAGAUAUGGAUGUGACAGUUGGCACUACAGGUCUCUCCAAAAGUAGGAAGUGCAAGGGCACAUGUGGAGCUGCCUAAAGUUUGCACAGAGAUAUUGCUCCAGAAACAGAAACCACACAGAAUUCCGCAGGCAUCUGAGCCUGGAGCAGCCUCAGCUGGGUGCCAUUUUGACCCCAGAUACUGGAGAUUUACAGACAUGGUUGCAGCCAUUGCACUGCUCCAAGGAGAGAGAAAGGAAAAUGGGUGCACUCAUGCACACUCAGGCAGGGACUUGCUCCCCUGCUACAAUCAUCUGUUGAGACUGAGACUCAAGUGGACCACACUUCCCACAGCUUCUUGCUCAUGCUGCCAGCCUGGGUGGUCCCUGGCUCUCUCUGGUCCCAAGCCCAAGGCUCUAUUUUGAGAGUUUAACUCUGGACUGUCCCCUAUCUUCAGCCUGAGCUCAGGCUGAUGCAGCUGCAACCACUGCCUGGCUAAGGAGGGACAGGGAGACCAGGUCAUCCUACUCAUAUCUAGGACGAUACUCACUGCUCUGCAACAGGCUGCUGUGAAACUGGCUGACAUGUGAGUGAACCACACUCCCCACAGCUUCUUGCCCAUACUGCUUGCCGGAGCAUUGCCCCAUUCUCCCUGGAUGUAAGCCCAAGGCAUCCUUUUGAGAGUUUAAUUCUAAGCUGCAUCUCACCAUCGCCAUGAGUAAACUAUGCAUUGGACCAAGGACUAAUAUCCAGAAUCUAUAAAGAACUUAAAGAAAUCAAGAAGAGGCCGGGCGCGGUGGCUCACGCCUGUAAUCCCAGCACUUUGGGAGGCCGAGGCGGGCGGAUCACGAGGUCAGGAGAUCGAGA